rnacentral:rRNA from 1 species
AUUGAACGCUGGCGGCAUGCCUUACACAUGCAAGUCGAACGGCAGCACGGGAGCAAUCCUGGUGGCGAGUGGCGAACGGGUGAGUAAUAUAUCGGAACGUGCCCAGUCGUGGGGAUAACGUAGCGAAAGCUACGCUAAUACCGCAUACGAUCUAUGGAUGAAAGCGGGGGAUCGCAAGACCUCGCGCGAUUGGAGCGGCCGAUAUCAGAUUAGGUAGUUGGUGAGGUAAAGGCUCGCCAAGCCGACGAUCUGUAGCUGGUCUGAGAGGACGACCAGCCACACUGGGACUGAGACACGGCCCAGACUCCUACGGAGGCAGCAGUGGGGAAUUUUUGGACAAUGGGCGCAAGCCUGAUCCAGCAAUGCCGCGUGCAGGAUGAA